UACGAAGGGGGCUAGCGUUGCUCGGAAUCACUGGGCGUAAAGCGCACGUAGGUGGGUCGCUAAGUCGGGGGUGAAAUCCUGGAGCUCAACUCCAGAACUGCCUUCGAUACUGGGAAUCUUGAGUCCGGAAGAGGUGAGUGGAACUGCGAGUGUAGAGGUGAAAUUCGUAGAUAUUCGCAAGAACACCAGUGGCGAAGGCGGCUCACUGGUCCGGUACUGACGCUGAGGUGCGAAAGCGUGGGGAGCAAACAGGG
rnacentral:rRNA from 1 species